GAUCAUGGCUCAGGACGAACGCUGGCGGCGUGCCUAAUACAUGCAAGUAGAACGCUGAAGGAAGGAGCUUGCUCUUUUCCGGGAUGAGUUGCGAACGGGUGAGUAACGCGUAGGUAACCUGCCUGGUAGCGGGGGAUAACUAUUGGAAACGAUAGCUAAUACCGCAUAACAGUAGAUAUCGCAUGAUAGCUGCUUGAAAGGUGCAAUUGCAUCACUACCAGAUGG
rnacentral:rRNA from 1 species